UCAGCUCCACUUUUUUGCUGAGGCUGAGGUUAGUUUUGAUUCAGCUGGACCAUGAAGGUGCAACUUAUUGGCCUGCUCAUGCUAACCGUUUUGGUGCUCCACAUCAUGGCGGAUGGGGUCAUGAUUGGAAAUGAUGAAGUAAUACCUGGAGAUGAGUUCCUGAAUAUUACAACAGGGAAAUCUGAGCCGCAACUGGGAGGUAAAGAUUCGGGUCCCCCACCACCAGGGGCCGAGAACUGAACUUCCAGCCAAUGAACAGCAAUGAGAAAUUUGUGAAAUAAAAUCUCUUUGUUUUCUCUCAAAGGAAACUAAUUAUUGAGUUUUUUUCAACAUAAGAAUCUGUGUUGCUGUUGUA